rnacentral:miRNA from 1 species
CCUGCAGAGACAUCUGGCGGACAC